UUGCUUUGGCAGCGUACAUGCUAACACUGAAGCGAUGCAGACAAGAUAGCCUGGGCCCCGUGCAAGGAUGACACGCAGAUUUGUGAAACAUUCCAUAUAGUU
ensembl:snRNA U6 U6 spliceosomal RNA